rnacentral:lncRNA from 1 species
GUUUUUUUUUUUUUUUUUUUUUUUUUAAUGUGAAUAACGACGGUGUGUCCCAGCGCCGUGUGACGACGACGACGUGAAUUGCGUCGGGUUUCCUUUACCACCACACCCCUCCAAAUUGGAGACUUAACCUUCUGCAAAAGCAUCACCAAAAGACCAAUCUUGAGUCCGAGUGGAAAGGGUCUUACACUGCAUCCUAUAUGCCAAUACUGCUACAAAACUACAAGGGGUAUGACACAUACUUUAUAUCUUACAAUUGAAAAAUGCAAGACAAGUCUAAUUUCACAUAUAAGGAGCUUGGAAUUCAUCACUCUAACAAGUAAAAAGCUGCACAGCCUGACAACCAGUGGGUCUUCUUGGAUUCUUAAGAGAGGAAAAUACAGAGCCAAAGGUUGCUCAAGACUGAAGAGACAGGGGAAUAUGGGGAGUCGUGGCUUACCGGAACAGACACCCAGGAGUGGAAACUGCAGCCAGGACUGGUGCCACGGUGGAAAAACCUGAAACAUGAGGAAUUGCUGAGGGCUUGGUGUGGGCAAUGCCAGAGUGAACAACUCCAGAGGACCUGGUCAUGGGCAGGGAUCAGGUGGUGGGCACAAUACUGUGGGAUCUACCUCCAGGACCUUGACUAGUCUUCACAGCAAACACAGAGAAAGAGCCCUUCAUACUUCCGAAGGGAGAGAGGAAAAGCAACCAUUUUUUAAAAUACAUCAGAGCCCUCUGUUCUUAACAAGGAUUGUUUUCAGGAGAAACGAGUUAAUCAGAGCCUCACCUGCUAGGAUCUUAUCAGAGCCCAACUGACCUAAAUGAAGAGAAAUACCCAACGCCUGCCCACUGUUCAAAUUCUACCUGGCCUGAGGGGAAAGAAAAUAAACACAAGAACUUUUAAAGCUCACAGUCCAGAGGUAAAAGCUCACUAAAAGACUGAAACUGAAUCAUAGAAUGAUUGCAGAACAUGUCCCCUCCACCCACACCUCACCACCGCAUUACUGCAGGCCUCUUUAGGACCAUUUAUUUUAUCCUGCACAUCACCUCUGGCUGUGAAGAAAGAAAGGUAAAAUUUGAAGAAAAAGCAAGUGUGUUUUUUUAUGUUGAAUAUCUUUUUUUUCUUUUUUCUUUUCUUUGCAUUUAAGUGCAGUUUACACACAAGGUUACAUUUUUUUUUUUAAUUGAACUACAGUUGGCCCAUAAUGUUAGUUUCAGGUGUCUAGAGGAGCCAGUGUAUUUAAGAAGACAAUUUGAAGAGACGGCGCAAGCACCGGAACCAGACGUGGCAGGAAUGUUAGAAUGAUCAGACUAGGGAUUCUUGAAAACAACUAUGAAUAAUAUGCUAAGUGCUCUAAGGAGUAAAGUCCUGUUGGUGGGACCCUGCAGCUUUUUGAUCUGAAGACCCAAAUAGAAAUUAUCUUGAAAUUUUCAGUGAUGCAGGGCAUUGGACUCCUUGUGCAAAAAAAAAAAAUAAUAAAAAAAAUUGGGGGAACCC